ACGGCAUACUGUGUCUGCAAAAUCAUUUCAAACGCUUUGCGCUGUGGAAUCCUGAACAAGAGAAUUUAGGUCCCUCCCACUACUCUCUCCUAACUUUUCACCCAAUGUGGUGUAUCCCUAUGACACUUUUGGAUUUGGUUUGGAUCCCAUUACUAAUGAUUACAAGGUGGUUUGGAUUUGGAAGACUAUGGAUGAUAAUCAUGAUACUAGAAAAUUAAAGUAUACUCCUUAUGAGGUUGCUGUGUAUACCCUAUCUACUGAUUCCUGGAGAUAUCUUGAUGAUGUUGCUUUGCCUUAUGCUAACAUUCAAAUCCCUCUGUCUAACACAUGCAUUAAUGGAGUUUAUCACUGGUUUGCAGUAGACAGUGACUAUCAUGAUCUGAUCCUUUCAUUUGACAUGGGCAAUGAAUUGUUUCACGAGAUCCGUGGUAUUCCAUAUUCAAAAUGUGGCAUUCUUGCACCCUACUAUGACUAUCUUGCUCUGAUUUGUCAUUGUUCUAGUGAUUCAGGUGUUGACAUUUGGGUGACGAGGGAGGAAUGAUGUUGGACAAAGCAAUUUACUUUUGAAAUCCUUGAAGGAUUCGAAUGGCCACUUGGGUUUUGGAAGAACGAUAAGCUUUUUAUGGAAAGUCGUGAUGCUCAUAUGGCCUUGUAUGAUCCAGAGACUUGUGAAAUUAAGGAUCUUGGAUCCCGAUAUUAUUCCGAGCCCUUGCUCUAUAGGGAGAGCUUAGUCCCUAUAAGAGGCAGAAAUGGGUUUGUAGAACAGGAUCAGACAAUGUCUGACGUAGAUCAAGUUUUAAACUUUUCUAAAUGAGUUCACCUACCGGUCACUCCAUCCGAUAAAUUGUGUGUUUUGGUGCAACAACAAUGACUAAAAAGGAAAAGGGGGCAAACUAGAUGCAGAACUAAAAGGAAAUGGCAUGUUAAUUUAUCAUUUUUGUUAUUGGUAGUUGUUGGUAGCAUUGUUGCAUAUCCCAUGCUAUUGUGUCUUUGCAUUGAUUAUGAAAACAAAACACCACUUGUUGUCCGGAUGGUUCCCUCAAUCCUACCAAUACUUGAGAUGAGAGAGAACCUUGAACUUGACUCCUUCAGAGCCAGAAGUGUUUUUGUUUUGCAUUGAAGGGAUAAAAAUGGUUGAUUGAUGCUGCUUUCUCCUUGAAGAGGUUCCACUUGAGAACACAAUUCCGAGACGUAUUUGGCAGUUGCUUCCGUUAUUUUUUUUAUUGGUUCUCUGGGAAAGAGGAAGUGGUGAAAGAAUUUGUUGGAUGUCGAAGCAAUAAAUUCUGAAGAAAUGAUCUCUCUCUCUCUCUUGUUUUUGUUUCUUUUUCCCUUCUGAAGAUUGAUCUACCCUGUUCUUAGUCUCGUUGCGUUUGUAUAAUUCUUCAUGGAGCUGGUUGGUUCCAAACUUUAAUCAUUUACAACUUCAAAACUCUGUUCGUCCA